AGCUGGUGUUGUGAAUCAGGCCGGCAAAAGCAGCUGCUACGAUCCGGCUAUUUCACAACACCAGGGU
rnacentral:pre_miRNA from 1 species